UUCAUAUAGUCAAAACCUGUGGAGUGCUGUCAUUUUGAAGUCUACCAAACCCAAAUCGUUUUUUUUGCACAGAGAGAGCAAGCAGUAAACAGAACAGGAACUGGAUGUGUAUUUAAGCUGUGGUGCUGUCUUGUUCCUAUCUUUUGACUUUCUGAAGAGGUGCAGUGAAACCAUAUUUAAGUGAAUACAUAUUUAAGAUAAGACCCUUGAGAGAACACAGUGCACCAAGGAGACUAUACAAUGAUGACUAUCAGGAGGAUAAUACCAAGAGACUGAUAUGCUCCCUAGUCAUGACCCCCAUGAACCAAACCAGUUAGUAUCAAAUAAAUCAAAGAAUGUACCAAGUGAA